rnacentral:misc_RNA from 1 species
GAUGAAGAACGUAGCGAAAUGCGAUAAGUAAUGUGAAUUGCAGAGUUCAGUGAAUCAUCGAAUCUUUGAACGCACAUUGCGCCCGCCAGUAUUCUGGCGGGCAUGCCUGUUCGAGCGUCAUUACAACCCUCAGGCCCCCGGGCCUGGCGUUGGGGAUCGGCGGAGCCCCCCGUGGGCACACGCCGUCCCCCAAAUACAGUGGCGGUCCCGCCGCAGCUUCCAUCGCGUAGUAGCUAACACCUCGCGACUGGAGAGCGGCGCGGCCACGCCGUAAAACACCCAACUCUUCUGAAGUUGACCUCGAAUCAGGUAGGAAUACCCGCUGAACUUAAGCAUAUCAAAAGCGGAGGA